GACGAACGCUGGCGGCGUGCUUAACACAUGCAAGUCGAACGGAAAGGCCCUGCUUUUGUGGGGUGCUCGAGUGGCGAACGGGUGAGUAACACGUGAGUAACCUGCCCUUGACUUUGGGAUAACUUCAGGAAACUGGGGCUAAUACCGGAUAGGAGCUCCUGCUGCAUGGUGGGGGUUGGAAAGUUUCGGCGGUUGGGGAUGGACUCGCGGCUUAUCAGCUUGUGGGGGGGGUAGUGGCUUACCAAGGCUUUGACGGGUAGCCGGCCUGAGAGGGUGACCGGCAACAUUGGGACUGAGAUACGGCCCAGACUCCUACGGGAGGCAGCAGUGGGGAAUAUUGCACAAUGGGCGGAAGCCUGAUGCAGCAAGGCCGCGUGCGGGAUGACGGCCUUCGGGUUGUAAACCGCUUUCGCCUGUGACGAAGCGUGAGUGACGGUAAUGGGUAAAGAAGCACCGGCUAACUACGUG
rnacentral:rRNA from 1 species